rnacentral:rRNA from 1 species
CUACGGGUGGCUGCAGUGAGGAAUCUUGGACAAUGGGCGAAAGCCUGAUCCAGCGACGCCGCGUGGGUGACGAAGGCCUUCGGGUUGUAAAGCCCUGUCAGAGGGGAAGAAGUUCUGACGGUACCCUCAGAGAAAGCACAGGCUAACUCCGUGCCAGCAGCCGCGGUAAUACGGAGUGUGCAGGCGUUGCUCGGAAUCACGGGGCGUAAAGGGCGCGUAGGCGGCUUGGUAAGUUGGAUGUGAAAGCCCUCGGCUCAACCGAGGAACUGCAUCCAAAACUGCCUGGCUAGAGUACGGAAGAGGAAGGCGGAAUUCCCAGUGUAGGGGUGAAAUCCGUAGAUAUUGGGAAGAACACCAGUGGCGAAGGCGGCCUUCUGGGACGAUACUGACGCUGAGGCGCGAAAGCGUGGGGAGCAAACAGGAUUAGAUACCCCCGUAGUC